rnacentral:rRNA from 1 species
UACGAAGGGUGCAAGCGUUACUCGGAAUUACUGGGCGUAAAGCGUGCGUAGGUGGUGAGUUAAGUCUGUCGUGAAAGCCCCGGGCUCAACCUGGGAAUGGCGAUGGAUACUGGCUCGCUAGAGUGCGGUAGAGGAGAGUGGAAUUCCCGGUGUAGCAGUGAAAUGCGUAGAGAUCGGGAGGAACACCGGUGGCGAAGGCGGGUCUCUGGGCAACAACUGACGCUGAGGAGCGAAAGCGUGGGGAGCGAACAGG